UACACUUUAAAUCCUUUAACGAGGAUCUAUUGGAGGGCAAGUCUGGUGCCAGCAGCCGCGGUAAUUCCAGCUCCAAUAGCGUAUAUUAAAGUUGCUGCGGUUAAAAAGCUCGUAGUUGGAUCUCAUUCUCGGUCGGACGGUCCACUUCACGGUGGUACUGUUCGAAUCGGACAUUUGGCCGCCUUUCUCAGUAUGCUCUUCACUGAGUGUAUUGGGAGAGUGGCACGUUUACUUUGAAAAAAUUAGAGUGCUCAAAGCAGGCAAUUGCCUGAAUCUUCGUGCAUGGAAUGAUGGAAUAGGGCCUCGGUUCUAUUUUGUUGGUUUCCGGAACUCGAGGUAAUGAUUAAGAGGGACGGACGGGGGCAUUCGUAUUGCGACGUUAGAGGUGAAAUUCUUAGAUCGUCGCAAGACGAACUACUGCGAAAGCAUUUGCCAAGAAUGUUUUCAUUAAUCAAGAACGAAAGUCAGAGGUUCGAAGGCGAUCAGAUACCGCCCUAGUUCUGACCUUAAACGAUGCUAUCUGGCGAUCCGUCGGUGUUAAUUCCUAUGACCCGACGGGCAGCUUCCGGGAAACCAAAGUGUUCAAGUUCCGGGGGAAGUAUGGUUGCAAAACUGGAACUUAAAGGAAUUGACGGAAGGGCACCACCAGGAGUGGAGCCUGUGGCUUAAUUUGACCCAACACGGGAAAUCUCACCAGGCCCGGACACUGGCAGGAUUGACAGAUUGAUAGCUCUUUCUUGAUUCAGUGGGUGGUGGUGCAUGGCCGUUCUUAGUUGGUGGAGUGAUUUGUCUGGUUAAUUCCGAUAACGAACGAGACCCCGUCCUACUUACUAGACUGAGGAUUCUUUUGUCCUCAGAAUCUUCUUAGAGGGACAACUGGCGUUUAUCUAGCUACAUGAAAUGGGGCAAUAACAGGUCUGUGAUGCCCUUAGAUGUUCUGGGCCGCACACGCGCUACACUGAAGGGAUCAUCGUGUUUGUCCUAGCCUGAAAAGGCCGGGAAAUCCGUUGAAAUCUCUUCGUGCUAGGGAUUGAGGCUUGCAAUUUUUUCUCAUGAACGAGGAAUUCCCAGUAAGUGCGAGUCAUAAGCUCGCGCUGAUUACGUCCCUGCCCUUUGUACACACCGCCCGUCGCUACUACCGAUUGGAUGAUUUAGUGAGGCCUUCGGACUGGCUGCUAGUGGGGCACUUGUGUCCUGCUGGUGGAUCGGGAAGAUGUUCAAACUGU
rnacentral:rRNA from 1 species